CUCAUAGCGUAUAUUAAAGUUGUUGCAGUUAGAACGCUCGUAGUCGGAUUUCGGGGCGGGGCGACCGGUCUGCCGAUGGGUACGCACUGGUCGGCGCGUCCUUCCUUCCGGAGACCGUGCCUACUCUUAACUGAGCGGGGGCGGGAGACGGAACGUUUACUUUGAAAAAAUCAGAGUGUUUCAAGCAGGCAGCUCGCUCUUGCAUGGAUUAGCAUGGGAUAAUGAAAUAGGACUUUGGUGCUAUUUUGUUGGUUUCGAACACCGAAGUAAUGAUGAGAAGGGACAGUCAGGGGCACUCGUAUUCCGCCGAGAGAGGUGAAAUUCUCAGACCAGCGGAAGACGAACCACUGCGAAAGCAUUUGCCAGGGAUGUUUUCACUGAUCAAGAACGAAAGUUAGGGGAUCGAAGACGAUCAGAUACCGUCGUAGUCUUAACCAUAAACCAUGCCGACUAGGGAUUGGGGGAUGUUCACUGAUUGACUCCCUCAGCACCUUACGGGAAACUAAAGUCUUUGGGUUCCGGGGGGAGUAUGGUCGCAAGGCUGAAACUUAAAGGAAUUGACGGAAGGGCACCACCAGGUGUGGAGCCUGCGGCUUAAUUUGACUCAACACGGGGAAACUUACCAGGUCCAGACAUUGUGAGGAUUGACAGAUUGAGAGCUCUUUCUUGAUUCGAU
rnacentral:rRNA from 1 species